UACAGGGGGGGGCAAGCGUUGUUCGGAAUUACUGGGCGUAAAGGGUCAGUAGGCGGCCAACUAAGUCCGACGUGAAAUCCCAAAGCUUAACUUUGGAACUGCGUCGGAUACUGGAUGGCUUGAAUUCGGGAGAGGGAUGCAGAAUUCCAGGUGUAGCGGUGAAAUGCGUAGAUAUCUGGAGGAAUACCGGUGGCGAAGGCGGCAUCCUGGACCGAGAUUGACGCUGAACGACGAAAGCUAGGGGAGCAAACGGG
rnacentral:rRNA from 1 species